AGUGAACGCUGGCGGUAGGCCUAACACAUGCAAGUCGAACGGCAGCACAGUAAGAGCUUGCUCUUACGGGUGGCGAGUGGCGGACGGGUGAGGAAUACAUCGGAAUCUACUUUUUCGUGGGGGUUAACGUAGGGAAACUUACGCUAAUACCGCAUACGACCUACGGGUGAAAGCAGGGGAUCUUCGGACCUUGCGCGAUUGAAUGAGCCGAUGUCGGAUGAGCUAGUUGGCGGGGUAAAGGCCCACCAAGGCGAGGAUCCGUAGCUGGUCUGAGAGGAUGAUCAGCCACACUGGAACUGAGACACGGUCCAGACUCCUACGGGAGGCAGCAGUGGGGAAUAUUGGACAAUGGGCGCAAGCCUGAUCCAGCCAUGCCGCGUGGGUGAAGAAGGCCUUCGGGUUGUAAAGCCCUUUUGUUGGGAAAGAAAAGCAGCAGGUUAAUACCCCGCUGUUCUGACGGUACCCAAAGAAUAAGCACCGGCUAACUUCGUG
rnacentral:rRNA from 1 species